rnacentral:rRNA from 1 species
GACGAACGCUGGCGGCGUGCCUAAUACAUGCAAGUCGAGCGAAGUAUUUCUGGUGCUUGCACUAGAAAAACUUAGCGGCGAACGGGUGAGUAACACGUAAAGAACCUGCCUCAUAGACAGGGACAACUAUUGGAAACGAUAGCUAAUACCGGAUAACAGUAUUUCUCGCAUGAGAGAUGAUUAAAAGUUGGUUAUGCUAACACUAUGAGAUGGCUUUGCGGUGCAUUAGCUAGUUGGUGGGGUAAAGGCCCACCAAGGCGACGAUGCAUAGCCGACCUGAGAGGGUGAUCGGCCACACUGGAACUGAGACACGGCCCAGACUCCUACGGGAGGCAGCAGUAGGGAAUCUUCCGCAAUGGGCGAAAGCCUGACGGAGCAACGCCGCGUGAGUGAAGAAGGAUUUCGGUUCGUAAAGCUCUGUUGUUAGGGAAGAAUGGAUAUGUAGUAACUAUACAUGUAAGAGACGGUACCUAAACAGAAAGCCACGGCUAACUACGUG